UUGGUGUACUGGUCGCACGCGGAAUAAAUGCUUUUCAUCAGUUGCUGAUCGUCUGACUUCCGAGCACAACAGUUGGCGACGAGGCAGGCAGCGGACCGGCGCAGGCCCGACCAAUAAGCGCGGCGUAAUGGCAGUCAGCGUCACCGCGGGCAGCACCACCUGGGUACGAGCGCGUGAUGGGACGAGUGCGUAGAGCGACUUGAAAUGUACUGCGAAGCCAAGACGCUUUCAGAGGACGAAGCAUGCGGUUUUGCUUUGUUCCUGCGGAGAAGAAACGUAGUCUUAUAGUGACGCUGGUCAAACGCGAACGGCCGACAGCUGCAACCUACGAGAGCAUCCAGAAAGCGGUCCGCCAACACAUGCGUCUGAAGCCGUCGGUACUGUACGGAAGAGUUUUAUUUUGCAAGCGUAACCAAGCUCAAGGUGACCGCGUCGCAGACUACGUGGCAGCGCUGAGAAAACUGGCUGGAAAACGGUUUAGGAGACGUUUCCACUGGACGGGAUGAUUAGAGACCGCUUUGUCUUCGGCACCAGCAAGGAGGCUUCGUCCAGAGAAGCCGCCUGCUACCGGCAACGGUAAGCACAGUUCUGAAACUUGCAUGUUUCGUUAUGCGGUAUGUCACUGCUACGAGAAAGGAGCUCAUAUCGCUAGAGCUUGUCGCUUCAAAAAAAGAAUCGCAGUCAAGCCAAAAGAAAACUGCUGCUCAGAAGGCAGAAAAAAAAAAGAACCGGCCACAAAAGCAAAGUCAGGCAAGCAGACCGCUUCAUGAAGUAAAAGAGCUCUACACGCUUUGCGAAGUUCACGAGCUCGAAAAGCUCCUCGCGACUGUAUUGAUUCAAGGAAAAGAAGUGCAGGCGAAGAUUCGGGGGCGUCGCACUCAUUGGUCAGUCAAAACUUUUCGAGCAAUCAAAGGCAGUACAGGCAAAAUUCCACUUCAGAGUACUGGAACGCAGCUCGUGAUAUGGACGAAAGAGCCCCUUGAGGUGCUUAGAAAGGCAAUAGUAGAAAUGCGCUUCAAAAAAAAGUGCGAAAUUGCCUUCACUGUUAGUGAGCGAACAAGGCGACAGCCUGCUGGGCAGAAGUUGGUUUGAGACCUUAGGGAUUCGAGUUCAAGGAAUAAAAAAAAACAGUAUCCGAUGGUUAUGAAAUCAUUCAGCACUUUGCAGAGAUGCUCGCAAGUGAUCUACCAGGUUGCACUCAAGAUCCAGUACACAUAGGUCUAAAAGACGAAGCACAACCGGUGUUUUUGAAGAGCAGAGCAGUGCCGCUUGCGCUGCGAGAUGACGUGACAGCAGAUACAGUCAGACUAGUGAAACAAUGUGUGGGAACCAGCACAGUCCUCUACCUGGGCAAUCCCCAUCGUAGUCGUCAUAAAGUGAAAUGGUUCCAUACUUUUGUGCGGUGAUGAUAGCCGCAUGGUGAACAAUGCCUUUCAGGGCAGCGUCUAUUCUUUGUCCACAGUCGAGGAGGUGCUUGCAUCACUAGGGCCAAGCAAAUUUUUUACAAAGAUGGAUUUGGCUCAGGCCUGUAAACAGUUUGUUGUGGAUGACGAAUCAGCUGAAGUCCCUACGGUGAACACAAUGAAGGGCUUGUUUAAAUCGACGAGGGUGGCGAUAUGGGCUUGUUGGCAGCUCAUCAUUACAAGGUGUUUGUAUAGCGCAACAUAACAAAGACACAAUAAGAUGACAAGCAACCGUUGUUUGGUAAUUUGACACCAUCCGUUGGCCACAGAAAAAAAUUUUGAAUAUUGUACGUGCCGAACGACUUCGACAGGCGCGUUUCCACUGUGAUUACCUCAGCAUGAAAAUGUUCGAUCAUCAUCAACCGUGCGUCGCAAGGAAACUUCUGCGGAGGCACCUGCUGUUAGCUGAUCAUGUCACCGAGUUCCUUUGCGCUGAGGUUACCAUGGUAACCUCAGCUAAGGCUACUACGGGCUCACGUAAGAAAGGAUCGACGAAAACCAAUGACUGACGCCCAUGCCCCAGAGGGUUUUAACUUUCCCAACAGUGUGCGCCAAGUUCAGAGGGUUUUAACCUUCCCAACAGUGUGCGCCAAGUCCUCAGUCCAAAAUUUGCCCAAGCGAGCAGCUGGACUAACCCGGAGCUUGUGUCCAUCGUACGUGAAGUGUCCAAAAGAACCCCGGAAGAAAAUGGUGUGAGGAUGAACUCUGAAGGAUUGGACGCCCUAUUACAAUGCCACAUACAGGUACAUUAUGGAUGCCUGUCGCGCCGAUUUGCAGAGACAAGACACCGUGAUGACAGACGCCAUUUCUCUCGAGAAAAGAGUUGGGAUUGCGCUGUUCCGACUUUGCUCGACAGGAGAUCGGACAGUCGGCGAGCCCUUUGGUGUGGGACGCUCCACAGUGAACAUGAUAUGAGGACUUUUGUGCUGCUGUCCUUCGUAACCUUGCACAGGAGUGGCUAACUGGUUCCGCCCGCCGAAGUGGGCAAUCACAUUCGCGAAUUCUUCGUGGUGACUGGAUUUCCUCAAGGAUUUGGUGCUUUGGAUGGCUGCCACUUCCCAGUGUCCCCUCCGAAGGACCAAGUCAGCGAUUAUCACAACUACAAAGACUGGUAUAGCAUCAUACUACUGGCACUGGUUGACCACUACUAUCGCUUUUGCUAUGUGAACAUUGGGUCACCAGGGUGGUGCCAUGACUCGUACGUGUACAACCGCUCAAGCUUGUGCGCACUCAUCGAAAGCGAACUUUUCAAUGGGCCGACAGCUCUUAUUGAAGGAGUGCAGGUGCCGCCUGUCGUUCUCUGCGACCAGGCAUUUGCCCUCAUUGGAAAUCUGCAGAAACCGUGCGCAAAUUCUUCACCUGGCACUACCGAAAGUGCGUUAAAUUACAACCUUUCCAAAACAAGACGGAUUGUUGAAAACGCUUUUGGCCGUUUGAACGCUAGGUUUCGCUUCACCUUAAAGCGCAUGGAAUGCACCAUUCCUACAGCGACAAUGGUGAUCAAUGCAUGCUGUGUGCUCCACAAUGUUUGUGAAGGGUUAAGCGACCAGCGAAAUAUUUCUUUAAAGUGAAUCAAUCGGUGAACAAUCGCAUAAUGCUGCGUUUCUAGAAGACGACUGUCAA